rnacentral:rRNA from 1 species
UUCAAGUCUUUAAGAGCAAACGGUGGAUGCCUUGGCAUCUGGAGCCGAAGAAGGACGUAGCAAUCUGCGAUAAGCCUCGGGGAAUUGAUAAGCGAGUUUUGAUCCGAGGAUUUCCGAAUGGGGAAACCCGG